CUAAUUUUGAGUCUAGUCACUAAAUGCUUGAAUUUUGAGUCUUUGAAGUCUGAGUUACUUGCUUUGUGUGACAUUAAAAAUCAACUUCACAGAAGAUAAUACAUGACAGCUAUUGAAGACAAACAUGAAAUUCAGAAGUCUUCUGGUAACCCUGUUUCAUGUAUGUGGAUGCAACAAGGCCCAGGGCAGCUCAGCAGAAUCAAUCAGAAGGGAGCCACUGUUCUCCAGGGCACAUAAGAUCCGUGCAUUUUCCCUGCUUGCUGCACAUGUAAAUCUCCCUAAGCAUUGCUUGACAGUCUGAGAAGCAGGCUUCCUGAUCACCCUGACACCUUGGCAGUUUAGCCCUGGAUGAGGU
rnacentral:lncRNA from 1 species